rnacentral:tRNA from 1 species
GGAGAGGUGCUAGAGUGGUUGAAUAGGGUGCUCUCGAAAAGCACUAGUCCUGAAAGGGACUCGGGGGUUCAAAUCCCUCCCUCUCCG